rnacentral:rRNA from 1 species
GUCUGUAUGAAGUUAUAUAGAGUCUGGCCUGCCCGUUGAAGGAAUUUGAAAGGCCGCGGUAUAUUAACUGUGCAAAGGUAGCAUAAUCAUUAGCUUUUUAAUUGAAGGCUUGUAUGAAAGGUCUGACAAAGAAAAAGCUGUCUUUAAAAUUAUUUUUGAAUUUAACUUUUAAGUGAAAAGGCUUAAAUAAAUUUAAGGGACGAUAAGACCCUAUAAAUCUUUAUAUUAUAUUAUUAUUCUGAAUUUUAAUGUUUGUUUAGAUUGUUAGAUAAAAUAAUAAGUAUUUUGUUGGGGUGACGAGAAUAUAAAAAUAACUGUUCUUAAAAGAAACAAAGUUAUUUGUUAAGAAAAAUUUAUAGAUCCUUUUUAAAGAUUAAAAGUUUAAGUUACUUUAGGGAUAACAGCGUUAUUUUUUUUGAGAGUUCUUAUCGAAAAAAAAGUUUGCGACCUCGAUGUUGAAUUAAAAUUUCUUUACGGUGUAGAAGUUGUAGAAGAGAGUCUGUUCGACUUUUGAAAUUUU